rnacentral:rRNA from 1 species
UACGUAGGGUGCAAGCGUUGUCCGGAAUUAUUGGGCGUAAAGAGCUCGUAGGCGGUUUGUUGCGUCGGCUGUGAAAACCUGAGGCUCAACCUCAGGCCUGCAGUCGAUACGAGCAGACUAGAGUGUUGCAGGGGAGACUGGAAUUCCUGGUGUAGCGGUGAAAUGCGCAGAUAUCAGGAAGAACACCCGUGGCGAAGGCGGCUCUCUGGGACGGUACUGACGCUGAGACGCGAAAGCGUGGGGAGCGAACAGG